rnacentral:rRNA from 1 species
GAUGAACGCUGGCGGCGUGCCUAAUACAUGCAAGUCGAGCGAACAGAUGAGGAGCUUGCUCCUCUGACGUUAGCGGCGGACGGGUGAGUAACACGUGGAUAACCUACCUAUAAGACUGGGAUAACUUCGGGAAACCGGAGCUAAUACCGGAUAAUAUAUUUAACCGCAUGGUUCAAUAGUGAAAGACGGUUUUGCUGUCACUUAUAGAUGGAUCCGCGCCGCAUUAGCUAGUUGGUAAGGUAACGGCUUACCAAGGCGACGAUGCGUAGCCGACCUGAGAGGGUGAUCGGCCACACUGGAACUGAGACACGGUCCAGACUCCUACGGGAGGCAGCAGUAGGGAAUCUUCCGCAAUGGGCGAAAGCCUGACGGAGCAACGCCGCGUGAGUGAUGAAGGUCUUCGGAUCGUAGAACUCUGUUAUUAGGGAAGAACAAAUGUGUAAGUAACUAUGCACGUCUUGACGGUACCUAAUCAGAAAGCCACGGCUAACUACGUG